rnacentral:misc_RNA from 1 species
GUACACUUAUUACACUUGUUUAUGUUGUAUAUUUAUUUUAAGACCCUAGUCAGUGACUCAGUGUUGAGUUUAUAAAGUCCGCAAGUAAGACGUGCUAUCUACCAAUUGGAUAAUAUCUAAUGCCAAUUAAUUAACUGGAAAUCAUGGGAGAUAUUGUAGAAUUGAAUUCCACUGAAGGCCAGGUUCUUUACAGAGCCAACUCUAGUGCCAUAAGAAUUAGAGUUAGCUUUCCAUUAUCAGCAGAACCACAUAUAACCUUUUAUUCAAAAUUUCCACCCCAUCAGGAACUAUAUCAGCUGUAUAUUGGGGAUGUAUUUAAACUUGUAGACAUAUUAGAGGGUAAUGUUGUUGAUUAUUACAACAAAGACCCACCAACUUCUUUUAUCGAGUUCAAAGAUUUUUGGAUAUCAUGGCACAGUGGAAAAUUUCAAUAUGGUCUGUGUCCUAACAUUGAACCCAUGCGAUGUAUAAAACUUCAAAAUGCAAAAAAAAUUGGUUUUGUAAGUUUUCAUAUCCCUACAAUAAUAGAUGAAGCUGAGGUUAGAUGGGUGAUUGAAAGGAUCAUCAAAUAUGAUCAGUCUUCCAAUUUCUUCAAGAAGAAUAUGAAAUUGAAUAAUAGUGAUCAUCUAUCAGUUUUGAGUAUUUUGGCUUAUGUACUAAAAUACAAAUAAUAGAGGUCUGUGAACUCACUGUAACUUGAUUAUUGAAAUAUGAAAAGGAAUUGCUAUUAAAGUCCUCCAAAUCUACUUAACUCAUGGAAAAAUUAUGACCCCCAAUAUUCCUAAAUAGCUUACAUUGCAAAAGUGAUAAGGAAAUUGAGGGUGGUGAACUACGUUGGGUAAAAAUGACAAAUAACAGCUCAUUACCUAUGGAUGCAAUA